GAGUGAACGCUGGCGGUAGGCCUACCACAUGCAAGUCGAACGGCAGCACAGUAAGAGCUUGCUCUUACGGGUGGCGAGUGGCGGACGGGUGAGGAAUACAUCGGAAUCUACUUUUUCGUGGGGGAUAACGUAGGGAAACUUACGCUAAUACCGCAUACGACCUACGGGUGAAAGCAGGGGAUCUUCGGACCUUGCGCGAUUGAAUGAGCCGAUGUCGGAUUAGCUAGUUGGCGGGGUAAAGGCCCACCAAGGCGACGAUCCGUAGCUGGUCUGAGAGGAUGAUCAGCCACACUGGAACUGAGACACGGUCCAGACUCCUACGGGAGGCAGCAGUGGGAAUAUUGGACAAUGGGCGCAAGCCUGAUCCAGCCAUACCGCGUGGGUGAAGAAGGCCUUCGGGUUGUAAAGCCCUUUUGUUGGGAAAGAAAAGCAGCAGGUUAAUACCCCGCUGUUCUGACGGUACCCAAAGAAUAAGCACCGGCUAACUUCGUG
rnacentral:rRNA from 1 species